rnacentral:rRNA from 1 species
UACGGAGGGUGCAAGCGUUAUCCGGAUUUACUGGGUUUAAAGGGUGUGUAGGCGGGUCUUUAAGUCAGUGGUGAAAUCUCCGAGCUCAACUUGGAAACUGCCAUUGAUACUAUUGAUCUUGAAUUCUGUUGAGGUGGGCGGAAUAAGUCAUGUAGCGGUGAAAUGCAUAGAUAUGACUUAGAACACCAAUUGCGAAGGCAGCUCA